rnacentral:rRNA from 1 species
AUUGCAGGCUGCAACUCGCCUGUAUGAAGUCGGAAUUGCUAGUAAUCGCGGAUCAGCAUGCCGCGGUGAAUACGUUCCCGGGCCUUGUACACACCGCCCGUCACACCAUGAGAGCCGGGAACACCCGAAGUCCGUAGUCUAACCGCAAGGAGGACGCGGCCGAAGGUGGGUUUGGUAAUUGGGGUGAAGUCGUAACAAGGUAAC